GGUGGCGGUGCCACCCUGAGCGUGCCAGAUCUUGUCUGAAUCGUGGAAGCUAAGCAGGGUUGAGACUGGUUAGUACUUGGAUGGGACACCGCCUGGGAAUACCAGAUGCAGUAAGCU
ensembl:rRNA 5S_rRNA 5S ribosomal RNA